UGAUGACAAGCAGAGCCAAGUUCACGUCCC
rnacentral:piRNA from 2 species